AUGGACAUGAGGGUCCCUGCUCAGCUCCUGGGGCUCCUGCUGCUCUGGCUCUCAGGUGCCAGAUGUGACAUCCAGAUGACCCAGUCUCCAUCCUCCCUGUCUGCAUCUGUAGGAGACAGAGUCACCAUCACUUGCCAGGCGAGUCAGGACAUUAGCAACUAUUUAAAUUGGUAUCAGCAGAAACCAGGGAAAGCCCCUAAGCUCCUGAUCUACGAUGCAUCCAAUUUGGAAACAGGGGUCCCAUCAAGGUUCAGUGGAAGUGGAUCUGGGACAGAUUUUACUUUCACCAUCAGCAGCCUGCAGCCUGAAGAUAUUGCAACAUAUUACUGUCAACAGUAUGAUAAUCUCCCU